UAACUAGCCCGUAUUGCUUUGGCAGUACGCUGGCUUCUUAGAGGGACUAUUGGCGCAAGCCAAUGGAAGUAUGAGGCAAUAACAGGUCUGUGAUGCCCUUAGAUGUUCUGGGCCGCACGCGCGCGACACUGACGGAGCCAGCGAGUACCUCCUUGGCCGAAAGGUCUG
rnacentral:rRNA from 1 species